UACGGGGGGGGCAAGCGUUGUUCGGAAUUACUGGGCGUAAAGGGCUCGUAGGUGGCCAACUAAGUCAGACGUGAAAUCCCUCGGCUUAACCGGGGAACUGCGUCCGAUACUGGAUGGCUUGAGUUUGGGAGAGGGAUGCGGAAUUCCAGGUGUAGCGGUGAAAUGCGCAGAUAUCGGGAGGAACACCGGUGGCGAAGGCGGCGACCUGGGUAGAUACUGACGCUGAGGUGCGAAAGCGUGGGGAGCAAACAGG
rnacentral:rRNA from 1 species